rnacentral:sRNA from 1 species
AAGUAGUGUUUCCAAGUUAGAAGAUACAAAGCCAAAGACUCAUACGUACUUCUGCUACACCAUCAAAGCUUUUAGAAGCAAUAGAAUCUUUGUUAGUGUUUUGGAGUCAAAUAUG